rnacentral:rRNA from 1 species
UUCGCAAUGCCCGAAAGGGUGACGAAGCGACGCCGCGUGUGGGAAGAAGGCCUUCGGGUUGUAAACCACUGUCGGGAGUUAAGAAAUGCAAGGAUAUUAAUAGUGUCUUUGCUUGACUAAGGCUCCGGAGGAAGCCACGGCUAACUCUGUGCCAGCAGCCGCGGUAAUACAGAGGCGGCAAGCGUUGUUCGGAAUUGUUGGGCGUAAAGAGCACGUAGGCGGCUAUGUAAGUCGGUUGUGAAAGCCUUCCGCUCAACGGGAGAACAGCAUCCGAUACUACAUGGCUUGAGUGCGGGAGGGGAGAGUGGAACUUCUGGUGGAGCGGUGAAAUGCGUAGAUAUCAGAAGGAACGCCGGCGGCGAAAGCGGCUCUCUGGCCCAUAACUGACGCUGAGUGUGCGAAAGCUAGGGGAGCAAACGGGAUUAGAUACCCCGGUAGUCCUAGCCGUAAAC